ACGGAAGGCAGCAGUGGGGAAUAUUGCACAAUGGGGGAAACCCUGAUGCAGCGACGCCGCGUGAGUGAAGAAGUUAUUCGUAAUGUAAAGCUCUAUCAGCAGGGAAGAAAAUGACGGUACCUGACUAAGAAGCCCCGGCUAACUACGUGCCAGCAGCCGCGGUAAUACGUAGGGGGCAAGCGUUAUCCGGAUUUACUGGGUGUAAAGGGAGCGUAGACGGUCUGGCAAGUCUGAUGUGAAAGGCAGGGGCUCAACUCCUGGACUGCAUUGGAAACUGUCAGUCUUGAGUGCCGGAGAGGUAAGCGGAAUUCCUAGUGUAGCGGUGAAAUGCGUAGAUAUUAGGAGGAACACCAGUGGCGAAGGCGGCUUGCUGGACGACAACUGACGCUGAGGCGCGAAAGCGUGGGGAGCAAACAGGAUUAGAUACCCUGGUA
rnacentral:rRNA from 1 species